CAAAUAUUCAAGAGAUAAAAAAUACAGGUGGCCAGGCACGGUAACUCAUGCCUGUAAUCUCAGCACUUUGGGAGGCUAAGGUGGGAGGAUUGCUUGAGGCCAGGAGUUUGAGACCAGCCUGGGCAACAAAGUGAGAACCUGUCUCUCUAUAAAAACAAAUCAACAAACAAAAACACAAAAAAUAUGAAACCUCCCCCUAAAGCCUCCUCCUCCUCUUCUUCCUCUUGGGGCUCCUGAGUAUUGGCCUUAUCCCCUUCCUCUCUCCCCAGCACCCCGCCAUAUCCAGUCACCAGCAUCUAAUGAUUCUGCCCGCAGCACACCUGGACUCUCCACCAUCCUCGCCCUGCCUGGUCACCUACAUCGGCGGGAAUGGCAGCCGCCUUCUCUCUGCCCUUCCUGCCUCCAGGCCACACACACAGUGCAGUCAGAGGAGUCUUUCUAACACAUAAGCUGGGCCACGUCCCCCUCUCCAUUGUCAUGCCUCCCGCUGCCCUCUGGAUAAAGUCCUAAAUCCCCGCCACAGCCUGAAUGACCCUUCCCAGGCUGGCCCAUGUCCACUCCUCUGGGCUCCAGGUUCAUCCCUCUAAGACAUGAGAGCCAUCCAGUUCAUUGCCGUCCACACUGCGUCUCUGAAUCCACAGUCCUGGCUCCUGCCCCUGGGCCAUCUUGGCUAACAGCCUAGAAGAGUCCCGAGUCUUCAACUGCCUGGUCAGACCCCCACAUCAUCCCGUCCCCGUGAGCUGGGAACCAAGUCCGUGUCCUCCACACCACGUCCAACACCUGACUGGCCCUGGGGCAACAAAAAAUCUUGCACUGGCUGCCUGAAUAUUAGAGUUUACCCCCCAGGCCCUCCCUCCCUGGGUCUGACCGUUCCCGUUUGCUGUUUGUGCCUUAAACCAAAGCCAACUGCUUGGCCUCUUCUCUGCCUACAAAACAUUUUUACCGAUUUUAUGGCUGCGAAAAUUUCCUUCCUGUCUUCACAUUCACAGGAAAGAGAGAGCCCUGGCCCUGACUCAGAAUUGGAUUGUAGCUGGAGGCGUCCUCUCCAAGCCGGCUCCAGAGAAAGGGUUUAUCUGUUUGUUCCUUGACCUUGAGCAGCCACUGAGGCAGCCAGAAAGAGGAGAGGCAGGAGCUGGGAGGAGAGCGAGGAGCAAAGCUGGGGACCCUGCGCUCUGCCCCGAGGGACCCACCAGCCAGGAUGCAGCAGAAGCGACGCUGUGUGACUUCCGAGGCUGAGGCUGCAGAGAUUUGAGGCAUCUGCUCUCACCCAGCUUGAAGUGCUUCCUCUUGGAAGCCAGCCACCGUGAAAAACCCCGCCAUGCUGUGAGGAAGCCCAAGAGAGCUGCAUGGAGAGAAGGGCCUGUGGAAGAGCCCUGAGGUGCCACUCACAUGAAGUGAACCUUUGUGGACCUUCCAGCCCAGCUACCAGCAAAACGCAAGCAGCGAGUCUCCAGGCCCAGCCUGCUUUUAACAAGACAGUGAAGAGUGGCAGUUAAAGGUCUGGCUGGCAUCAGACAGUGCUGAAUUCAAACACCAGCUGAGCUGAAAACGGCCUGACUGGGUGACCUUGAGCAAGCAGCCUGCCCUCUCUGAGGCUCAGUUUAUUUUCUGGAAGGGAGAAGACGGUGUCUACUUCCAAUGACCGCCAUGAUGUUUCAGGUUCAGCCCGAAGGGUGAGCAGCCAAUAAAGAGUGCCGAGAACGGCCUCUGGCCUGCCAGGUAGAGAAAUGACCUGAUUCCUUCCAGAAGUUUCCAGUGUUCCCAAGCUGAUGAGGCUCCUGGGAGAUGCCUCCAGAUCUCUUAACGUUCAGGGAAGCAUGGGCUCUGGUUGCAUUAGGGAGGAUUUAUUUUAUUUUUAAAGGAGUUGAGGCCACUUUGCAAUCAGAGCCUUCGUGGCUGGAGCUGGGCGAGCUGAGGAAGGAGUAUUAAUCAAGGCGCUUUAAGGACAUGCAAAUCAGGAGAAAGCUCAAGUGAUUAGGGUGUGAUGGGGCCUGGAGUCCAGCCUAUAUCCCCAUCUGAGAAGAGAGAGCCAGAGUGCCAGGCAAGGUGGCUCAGGCCCAGCUGGGGGCGGCAGCCAAGGGGCUGCCAUGGGGCCAGGAACUGUGGGUUGGGAGCAAUUGGAGGCAGAGGGAAGGGAGCCACUCCAAGGUGGCUGAAGGGUCCCUGAUGCCUGCGCUGUCCACAUGGUACUCUGGCUGGCUUCCCCGCCUCCCCCACAGCUGCAGAGGGGCUGCUCUGGCAUGAUCCCCUGCCUGGCUGGGACAGGCCCCUCUUCCUAAGGAUACAGAAUGGUUAUUUGGGUGAGAGGGGCCCACCGGCGCUGCUGGGGGCGGGAUGGCGAAUGUGACGUCAGCGAUCUGCGGUAUCUUCAGGGUGACAGCCGUACCCCCCGCGUGGGACCCAGGGCUCCACAUCUAUAGACCUGACCCAAGGAAAGACUCAGGCCUGUGCACAAGGAUGCCAUCUCGGGGACUGCGUAUUCAUAAGAAGCUGAAUCAAACAGUGUCCAACAAGGGGGGUUGUUCGAGCUGGUUAUGGGACGUGUUUACCACGGACGUUCAGGUCCUCCUGAGAAAUGACGACCUAGACAUGGGAAGAUGGUUGCAAUGUAUUGUUCCGCAAAGGAGAAAAAAAGCAGGUUGCAAAACCCUGGGAACUGUCUGCCCACCUUCAAAAAGUCGGUCAUAUAUCUAGAAAAAUCUGGAAGGGUAGCCACAAAAACAUCAUCAGUAGGUACUUUGGAGAGGUUAUUGUUACUUUCCCCUUUUAUGUUAAUUUUUGUGCAAUAAACAUAUAUGUAUUUGUAAUCAAUAAAGCCAUCUUCUUUUCUCUUUUUAAGAAACUGUUCUCUUGCUUGGCCUCAUACCUCCCCCAAUCUCCUUAAUACUAAAUAAAAGAUCCCAGUGGACCCUGAGAGGGACACCCCCGCAGCCCUCUCAGGAGUCCCCUUGCUAGCACAAAGCAGGUCUCCACCACCCAAGAGGCAGGCAGACCAGGUAUGGGGGUCAUUGACAGACCCUCACCCUGCCCCAUGCAUUUUUUGGAUGAUACAGAAAAAAAAAAAAAAACAGGUACGCAGUGAUCAUUCCAUACAAGAUAUUGGUAUAGGUCCUAUGUGGGUCCAGAUUUCUUCUCCUAAGCCUCUGAGCCAGAGGCAUUAGGGACUCAGUGUGUUCCGUGUAGAGGUGUAAAACGAUACCUAUAGCAUAGAUUAGGUAACACCUUAAGCAGGGCUGGGGCAGUCCCCAUAAUCAAACAUGUUAAUAGCUCUGCAGUGAAAUGUACAAAUGUUCACAUCAAGGGGAAUAAAUAAAACUAUAAAUAGCUUCCUGUCAGCUGAGGUCAGGUUUUGCCUCCAGAUGAAUUUACCACCAUCUUAACAAAAGGACUUCGGUUUUUCAGACUUUUUGUUAAUUGCAGAAUUCCAGUUAGGGGAUGGGGACCAGACGAGGAUCGGGGCUCUCAGGCGCGUUGGUUUGGCUGUCUCCCUGCAGGGUCUCCCCGGCAGCGGGGCUGGCUCUGUGGUAGAGCCACUUCCACAGUCACCCAGGGCCCCGUACAUGGCUGACUGUUCUGUCGUCACCAUCUUGAAAUUCUCAAUAAUUGUAAUUUUACCGCCCCGAAUUUUCCUUUUACACAGGGCCCGGCAAAUCGCGUAGCCAGUCCUGCCAGCAUCCAGAGCAAAGCCCAGCACAAGGACCAGGAGUGGGGGCGUUCCCGAGAAGCCAACAUGCAGGAGACAACAGCGACGGUGAUUUCCAAAGCUGAGGACAUGGAGCUGAGCCAACCAGGGGUCCAUUCCUCCCCUGAGAAAUAGACUCUCCCCUUCGCAAUCGGAGCCUGUGAUCCACGGAUCACAACGGGAGCAAUGUGUGAGGCAAGGGCAGCGACGUUGAGGGGCUUCUCAAAGCUGCAGGAAAAGUCCUCAAGAUUCUAGAAUGUUCGGCAUUGCAGAUGCUCCGGGAUGAGUCAAGAAUACUAAGAGGGAAGGAUGUCCCGAGCCCUGCUUUGGGAAAUGCAGAAUCAGAUGAGGCCUUCAGGCAGCUGGUACCCAUGGCUGUAGGUCGUGUCUCCGUUCUGCCCCAAAGGCAGGCUCAACCUCUCCGAGGGUUCUCAGAUGCUGUGGCCACCGGUGGCUGCAGGGCCUUCCUGCUAAGACCAUCCCAGGCGCCGGACACUGGGCAGGCUGAAAGCUG
rnacentral:lncRNA from 1 species